rnacentral:piRNA from 1 species
UACAAUUUUCAUCUAUGAAGUUGCCUCUGACC